GAUGAACGCUGGCGGCGUGCCUAAUACAUGCAAGUCGAGCGAACAGAUGAGGAGCUUGCUCCUCUGACGUUAGCGGCGGACGGGUGAGUAACACGUGGAUAACCUACCUAUAAGACUGGGAUAACUUCGGGAAACCGGAGCUAAUACCGGAUAAUAUAUUGAACCGUAUGGUUGAAUAGUGAAAGACGGCUUUGCUGUCACUUAUAGAUGGAUCUGGGCCGCAUUAGCUGGUUGGUAAGGUAACGGCUUACCACGGCAACGAUGCGUAGCCGACGUGAGAGAGUGAUCGGCCGCCCUGGAGCUGAGACGCGGUCCUGGCGCCUGCGGGAGGCAGCAGUCGGGAAUCUGCCGCAGUGGUCGGGAGCCUUGCGCAGCGGCGCCACGUGUGUGAUGGAGGUCUUCCGAUCGUGAAGCUCUGUUAUGAGUGAUGAACAGAUGUGGAAGUAACUGUGCACGUCUUGACGGUACCUGGUCAGGAAGCCACGGCUAACUACGUG
rnacentral:rRNA from 1 species